UACGUAGGUGGCGAGCGUUGUCCGGAAUCACUGGGCGUAAAGGGCGCGUAGGCGGCAAUACAAGUCGCAUGUGAAAUUCCAGGGCUCAACCCUGGGGGGUCAUGCGAAACUGUAUGGCUUGAGUGCAGUAGAGGUAAGCGGAAUUCCUGGUGUAGCGGUAAAAUGCGUAGAGAUCAGGAGGAACACCGGUGGCGAAGGCGGCUUACUGGGCUGCAACUGACGCUGAGGCGCGAAAGCGUGGGGAGCAAACAGG
rnacentral:rRNA from 1 species